rnacentral:rRNA from 1 species
CCUACGGAGGCAGCAGUGAGGAAUAUUGGUCAAUGGGCGCGAGCCUGAACCAGCCAAGUAGCGUGAAGGAUGACUGCCCUACGGGUUGUAAACUACUUUUAUAAAGGAAUAAAGUGAGGCACGUGUGCCUUUUUGUAUGUAAUGUAUGAAUAAGGAUCGGCGAACGCCGUGCCAGCAGCCGCGGUAAUGCGGAGGAUGCGAGCGUUAUCCGGAUUUAUUGGGUGUAAAGGGAGCGUAGAUGGGUUGUUAGGUCAGUUGUUAAAGUUGGCGGAUCAACCGUAAAAUUGCAAUUGAUACUGGCAGUCUUGAGUACAGUUGAGGUAGGCGGAAUUCGUGGUGUAGCGGUGAAAUGCUUAGAUAUCACGAAGAACUCCGAUUGCGAAGGCAGCUUACUAAACUGCCACUGACAUUGAUGCUCGAAAGUGUGGGUAUCAAACAGGAUUAGAUACCCCUGUAGUC